UGCAGGAUAGAGUAAAGGUCACUCAGCGGCUUCAUACGCCGUACCAUAUGGGUUCGAUUCCCAUUCCUGCAACCA
rnacentral:tRNA from 1 species